rnacentral:rRNA from 1 species
UACGUAGGGGGGCAAGCGUUGUCCGGAAUCAUUGGGCGUAAAGAGCGCGUAGGCGGCCCUGUAAGUCCGCUGUGAAAGUCAAGGGCUCAACCCUUGGAUGCCGGUGGAUACUGCAGGGCUAGAGUCCGGAAGAGGCGAGUGGAAUUCCUGGUGUAGCGGUGAAAUGCGUAGAUAUCGAGAGGAACACCUGCGGCGAAGGCGGCUCACUGGUCCGGUACUGACGCUGAGGUGCGAAAGCGUGGGGAGCAAACAGG